AAACAGCCACUCCAGUUACGACUGUAGUAAUAAUUGUCAGAGAAUGCCAGAAAUGUAAUGUAGGAUACUGUAAUCUUGCUACUGUAGAUAUCAAGUCUCCGGCUACAGUAUGAGGGUAUUGCAGGAAGAUAUGUUUAAAAAGCAACUACAAAGCUUUCCAUUCAGCAGUAUGGCAAUGUAACGGGCGUACUUUGAUUAACGAUUUGAUACUAUCCUAAUUACAGAUUACAAAUUGAUUAAGGAAAGAAAGAGAAAAGAAAUCAGAAGAAAAGGUUGUAUGAAGAGGGUUGUUAUAGAGAGAAGUUUGA
rnacentral:sRNA from 1 species